rnacentral:rRNA from 1 species
AGUGAACGCUGGCGGUAGGCCUAACACAUGCAAGUCGAACGGCAGCACAGUAAGAGCUUGCUCUUACGGGUGGCGAGUGGCGGACGAGUGAGGAAUACAUCGGAAUCUACUUUUUCGUGGGGGAUAACGUAGGGAAACUUACGCUAAUACCGCAUACGACCUACGGGUGAAAGCAGGGGAUCUUCGGACCUUGCGCGAUUGAAUGAGCCGAUGUCGGAUUAGCUAGUUGGCGGGGUAAAGGCCCACCAAGGCGACGAUCCGUAGCUGGUCUGAGAGGAUGAUCAGCCACACUGGAACUGAGACACGGUCCAGACUCCUACGGGAGGCAGCAGUGGGGAAUAUUGGACAAUGGGCGCAAGCCUGAUCCAGCCAUACCGCGUGGGUGAAGAAGGCCUUCGGGUUGUAAAGCCCUUUUGUUGGGAAAGAGAAGCAGCAGGUUAAUACCCCGCUGUUCUGACGGUACCCAAAGAAUAAGCACCGGCUAACUUCGUG